AUCAGAAGUGCGAAUGCUGACAUAAGUAACGAUAAAGCGGGUGAAAAGCCCGCUCGCCGGAAGACCAAGGGUUCCUGUCCAACGUUAAUCGGGGCAGGGUGAGUCGACCCCUAAGGCGAGGCCGAAAGGCGUAGUCGAUGGGAAACAGGUUAAUAUUCCUGUACUUGGUGUUACUGCGAAGGGGGGACGGAGAAGGCUAUGUUGGCCGGGCGACGGUUGUCCCGGUUUAAGCGUGUAGGCUGGUUUUCCAGGCAAAUCCGGAAAACCAAGGCUGAGGCGUGAUGACGAGGCACUACGGUGCUGAAGCGACAAAUGCCCUGCUUCCAGGAAAAGCCUCUAAGCAUCAGGUAACAUCAAAUCGUACCCCAAACCGACACAGGUGGUCAGGUAGAGAAUACCAAGGCGCUUGAGAGAACUCGGGUGAAGGAACUAGGCAAAAUGGUGCCGUAACUUCGGGAGAAGGCACGCUGAUAUGUAGGUGAAGCGACUUGCUCGUGGAGCUGAAAUCAGUCGAAGAUACCAGCUGGCUGCAACUGUUUAUUAAAAACACAGCACUGUGCAAACACGAAAGUGGACGUAUACGGUGUGACGCCUGCCCGGUGCCGGAAGGUUAAUUGAUGGGGUUAGCGGUAACGCGAAGCUCUUGAUCGAAGCCCCGGUAAACGGCGGCCGUAACUAUAACGGUCCUAAGGUAGCGAAAUUCCUUGUCGGGUAAGUUCCGACCUGCACGAAUGGCGUAAUGAUGGCCAGGCUGUCUCCACCCGAGACUCAGUGAAAUUGAACUCGCUGUGAAGAUGCAGUGUACCCGCGGCAAGACGGAAAGACCCCGUGAACCUUUACUAUAGCUUGACACUGAACAUUGAGCCUUGAUGUGUAGGAUAGGUGGGAGGCUUUGAAGUGUGGACGCCAGUCUGCAUGGAGCCGACCUUGAAAUACCACCCUUUAAUGUUUGAUGUUCUAACGUUGGCCCGUAAUCCGGGUUGCGGACAGUGUCUGGUGGGUAGUUUGACUGGGGCGGUCUCCUCCUAAAGAGUAACGGAGGAGCACGAAGGUUGGCUAAUCCUGGUCGGACAUCAGGAGGUUAGUGCAAUGGCAUAAGCCAGCUUGACUGCGAGCGUGACGGCGCGAGCAGGUGCGAAAGCAGGUCAUAGUGAUCCGGUGGUUCUGAAUGGAAGGGCCAUCGCUCAACGGAUAAAAGGUACUCCGGGGAUAACAGGCUGAUACCGCCCAAGAGUUCAUAUCGACGGCGGUGUUUGGCACCUCGAUGUCGGCUCAUCACAUCCUGGGGCUGAAGUAGGUCCCAAGGGUAUGGCUGUUCGCCAUUUAAAGUGGUACGCGAGCUGGGUUUAGAACGUCGUGAGACAGUUCGGUCCCUAUCUGCCGUGGGCGCUGGAGAACUGAGGGGGGCUGCUCCUAGUACGAGAGGACCGGAGUGGACGCAUCACUGGUGUUCGGGUUGUCAUGCCAAUGGCACUGCCCGGUAGCUAAAUGCGGAAGAGAUAAGUGCUGAAAGCAUCUAAGCACGAAACUUGCCCCGAGAUGAGUUCUCCCUGACUCCUUGAGGGUCCUGAAGGAACGUUGAAGACGACGACGUUGAUAGGCCGGGUGUGUAAGCGCAGCGAUGCGUUGAGCUAACCGGUACUAAUGAACCGUGAGGCUUAACCUU
rnacentral:rRNA from 1 species